rnacentral:rRNA from 1 species
CUCGUAGGUGGUUUGUCGCGUCGUCUGUGAAAUUCCGGGGCUUAACUCCGGGCGUGCAGGCGAUACGGGCAUAACUUGAGUACUGUAGGGGAGACUGGAAUUCCUGGUGUAGCGGUGAAAUGCGCAGAUAUCAGGAGGAACACCGGUGGCGAAGGCGGGUCUCUGGGCAGUAACUGACGCUGAGGAGCGAAAGCAUGGGUGCGAACA